rnacentral:sRNA from 1 species
AUCCCAGUCCCUGGAAAUCCACUCACUUGGUCCAGCUCACCCCAGCUCCAAGCCACUGGGACCCAGUCUCCAGGGGCCUGGCUGUGGGUGGCGGCCACUCCUGAGUGAGCAAAGCUCCCUGUCCUGCCUACAGCAGCAGCCUGUGCCCAGCUGUGUGUGUCUUCAAGUGCUGCCCACUGCCCUGCUGGCUCCAGAAGGUGUCCCCUCCAUAGUAACAGGGUCAGGGGACGACCAGAGCUGCACACCAGCCAGGUGGCUGCCAAGGCUGAGAUUCAAGCCUGCCUGGCCCUGCAGAUCCCUUCCUGGCCCACGUAGUCACCACCUGUGUGGGUACCUACCGUUCUGGUGUCGCCCAUCACUGGCUUCUGGGCUCCAACAGGAAAGGUGGUCUGGGAGCCCAGAAGCCCAAGUGGCCUCCCCGACAGCGUCCCUGACCUAGCGCUCAGACCCACAGCUCCAAGACACCCAGCAUGAGCAGCCCAGGCGGGCUCCACUGCAGGGGUCCCUUGACAGCACAGGAGCUGAGCCUCCUGGGUCCAGAUUGCGACCCC